GCGCGAGGGAGUGGCGGCGCUGGGCACGCUGGCCCGCCUCGCAAACACGUACACAGCCCUGCGAGCACACACACACACACACACACACAUACACACGGGAACCCGCCGCCUCCCGGCGCCGCCAGCCUUCCCUCGGGGGACCCGGCUUGGAGAGGUUGGAGCUUCGUGGCCAAGAGAUCUCCGGGAGGGAAGCGAUGCUGGGGAGCAGAGCGAGGGUCCCCCACGUGCCGAGGAGGAGCAGGGGCUGUGUUCCUCUUCACCAGGGAUGCUCUGCAGACAUCUGCCACCCAUAGCGCAGUGAGACCACACAACCGGUCCUGAGUCCUGGUCCUGGAGGCUGAGGAAGGUCAGAGCAUGUGAACAAAGAGGGAAUGAGACUCCAUCCUGGGCAGCCCAAGGGAUCCCACACGGCAGCCGAAUCAAUCCCUCCUGGUGUUUGUAUUUGGGGUUCGGACAGUUCUCACGUCAGGGAUGAGAUGAGUCCUGAUCGCCCUGCAGGAGCCCGCAGUGUCUGUGCUGGCAGAGAACUCAUCCGUGGCUUGCCUGGACGUGGCUCUGCUCUGUGGAGGUUGGCGUGGAGCAGGCGGUGUUGCCAGCUGCCCUCGCUGUGAAACGGGAAGGAAGGUGGUCCAGGAACGGCUGCCCAGCCAGCCCCAGAUGGAGGAUGCUGGACAAUCCCCAGCGGGGCAUCCCUGCAGGCGAAGAGUGUGACUCCUGCUGCCACCGCUCACCCGUGCUCCUGCCCCGCUGGGACCUCCUGCAGCGCACCGCAGCCGAGCCCCGGGGAAGAUGGUGGUGGGAGAAGACCAUGGCAUCAGGUAAGGCUGUGGUAUCAGAGCCAAGCCACCCUGCUACCGAGGCAGCAGAAGGCUCACCGGACACCUCCUCAGCUCUGCUGGCUGUCGGGGAGGGCUUUCCACCAGGUAAGAUGUUGCCUUUGGCAUCACCCAGACUUCCAGUAGUGAAUGUAGCAAGGCCUGGCACCACAGCUAAUUGACCCCCUGUCAUCCCU
rnacentral:lncRNA from 1 species